UACAGAGGGGGCAAGCGUUAUUCGGAAUUAUUGGGCGUAAAGGGCGCGUAGGCGGCUUUUCAAGUGACGGGUGAAAUCCCUCGGCUUAACCGAGGAACUGCCUGUCAGACUGGAAGGCUUGAGACCGGGAGAGGUGAGUGGAAUUCCCAGUGUAGCGGUGGAAUGCGUAGAUAUUGGGAGGAACACCAGUGGCGAAGGCGGCUCACUGGACCGGAACUGACGCUGAGGCGCGAAAGCGUGGGGAGCAAACAGG
rnacentral:rRNA from 1 species